rnacentral:rRNA from 1 species
UACGGGAGGCAGCAGUGGGGAAUAUUGCACAAUGGGCGCAAGCCUGAUGCAGCCAUGCCGCGUGUAUGAAGAAGGCCUUCGGGUUGUAAAGUACUUUCAGUCGUGAGGAAGGUGUUAAGGUUAAUAACCUUAGCAAUUGACGUUAGCGACAGAAGAAGCACCGGCUAACUCCGUGCCAGCAGCCGCGGUAAUACGGAGGGUGCGAGCGUUAAUCGGAAUUACUGGGCGUAAAGGGCACGCAGGCGGUUAAUUAAGUUGGAUGUGAAAUCCCCGGGCUUAACCUGGGAAUGGCAUUCAAGACUGGUUAGCUAGAGUCUUGUAGAGGGGGUAGAAUUCCAUGUGUAGCGGUGAAAUGCGUAGAGAUGUGGAGGAAUACCGGUGGCGAAGGCGGCCCCUGGGACAAAGACUGGCGCUCAUGUGCGAAAGCGUGGGGAGCAAACAGGAUUAGAUACC